rnacentral:rRNA from 1 species
UACAGAGGGUGCAAGCGUUUAAUCGGAAUUACUGGGCGUAAAGCGUGCGUAGUCGGUUAUUUAAGUCGGAUGUGAAAUCCCCCGGGCUCAACCUGGGAAUUGCAUUCGAUACUGGAUAGCUAGAGUUCGGCAGAGGGAAGCGGAAUUUCUGGUGUAGCGGUGAAAUGCGUAGAUAUCAGAAGGAACAUCAGUGGCGAAAGCGGCUUCCUGGACCAGAACUGACGAUCAGGCACGAAAGCGUGGGGAGCAAACAGG